UACGAAGGGGGCUAGCGUUGUUCGGAAUUACUGGGCGUAAAGCGCGCGCAGGCGGUUCUCCAAGUCAGUGGUGAAAGCCCGGAGCUCAACUCCGGAAUUGCCAUUGAAACUGUUGAACUUGAGGACGAGAGAGGUGAGUGGAAUUCCCAGUGUAGAGGUGAAAUUCGUAGAUAUUGGGAAGAACACCAGUGGCGAAGGCGGCUCACUGGCUCGUAUCUGACGCUCAGGCGCGAUAGCGUGGGGAUCAAAC
rnacentral:rRNA from 1 species